rnacentral:lncRNA from 1 species
AUGGUAAGAUCAGGUAAUCAGAGCUUUCUUCUCCAAGAAAACCAUAAAACUACCUACAGCUUUAAUUUCUCUAAAUCAUUCCAGCUGAAGGGAGCACUCAAGAGCAGCCCAGUGCGGUGUCCAGUCACUCAGGCAAAAGGGGCGACAGUGUGCACGUACAGAUGUGCUUCACACAUGCUCCCCUUUUGCUCGUUUGCCAGUGUCCAGAUGGGCUUUUCUGGGCUAGAAGAAAAGCUGUGCCACCAGAGGAUGUGUAAAACAUCAGGACAAGCAGAAUCCUCUUGGCUGGAGGCAAGGAGGCCUCUCUGCAGGCUGGAGAUGGCCCCUGGAGUCCAGAGUCAUUUACAAAAGAAGGAGGAAAGGAAAGCCGAGGCUCUUCAGGCUUUCAGGUUUUUUUUCUUCAGGUUUUUCUUUUCAGGUUUUCUCCUGGCAGCAUGACUGUUGCUUUCUAGAAAAGGUGAGAUUGAUUAAAAACAUAUUGACUUCAGGAUGUCCACGUGAAAAGAGUUUUUAUAUAGUACUAAAUAGGAGCCUCCACUCUGGGGAUUUAUUUCAGGGAAAAGAAAGGUAUGAUUUCACUCAAGCCUCUGGUAAGGGCCUUGAUAGAGAGCAGAAGAAUGUCAAAUGACAAACUGUCUUCACUACUGGAAUUGGAAGAUGUGAUUAUAAAUUUCAGUACUGUGGACAAGAGCAGUAAUACAGAGUCACAAAAUCAAGGUACCAGAAAUAGGAUGCAGAUGUGGCAUAGUGAAUUAAGGGCAGACUAAACAUCUUAUCUGCAGCAUCCAGAUCCCAUUGAAAUCCUGCUAAGGUCUGCUUUGACUUGCAGUAAGAGAUAAUGAGGACAAAAAUCGAGGGAUUUUGUCUCAAACAGACCUCUUGAGUUCUCAGAUGGAAAAAUCAGAUCAGAUACCCCAGGGCUAAGGACGGUUCUAGCUCCUGUCCUCAGAUGAAAGGUUCCUGCCAUCACUGAGACCAGCUCCUGCCAUAAGUAAUAGUCAGGAUUUCCCAACCUGAAAACACAGCUAGUGAGAGAAAGUAAUGCUGGUCCUGAUGCCAAGAUAUGACCUUGCCUUCCUGGUGCUUAGACAGGGAUGGGACUUGACCUGUAAGAAAAUCUGAUGCAGAUAAGGCAUUGCUUGAGAAGUUGUAGUUUGUUGAUGGAGAAACACCUAAAGCUGGGAAACAGAUAUGUGGAUAUUUCUUUACCCAGAACAGUGGUUAGGUUGUAAAACAGCUGUCUCGUCUCUGUGGGAGCCAAUUCCCUAGAGGUGACUCAGCAGUCAGCAAGAUGAGAACCAGACAGCUGCAGUUUCUGAAAAAUGGACAAAACUGAUACUUUAAACUGUGUCCUCCAGGUGAGGAUUUCAACCUCCAGCAUAGCCUUACUAAUGAAUAAGAUACAGUAAUGAAAAGCCAGGACUGAUGAGAUCAAAAAUAUGAAAGCCAAGACAGACAAUUUGCAGUGGCACACCAAAAAUGUAAGGGCAACUGUAGGCAGCAAAUUCUCUGCAGCAUAGGGCAUGCUUGAUGAAGGCAGCCAGCCUUUGGCGCCUAACUAUAAAUAUUCUCAGGUUAGCUUAAAUAAUUACUGCCAGAAUAAAGGCCUGUUUCUUUGUUAGUUCA